AUUGAACGCUGGCGGCAUGCCUUACACAUGCAAGUCGAACGGUAACAGGUCUUCGGAUGCUGACGAGUGGCGAACGGGUGAGUAAUACAUCGGAACGUGCCUAGUAGUGGGGGAUAACUACUCGAAAGAGUGGCUAAUACCGCAUGAGAUCUACGGAUGAAAGCAGGGAUCGCAAGACCUUGUGCUACUAGAGCGGCCGAUGGCAGAUUAGGUAGGUGGUGGGAUAAAAGCUUACCAAGCCGACGAUCUGUAGCUGGUCUGAGAGGACGAUCAGCCACACUGGGACUGAGACACGGCCCAGACUCCUACGGGAGGCAGCAGUGGGGAAUUUUGGACAAUGGGCGCAAGCCUGAUCCAGCAAUGCCGCGUGCAGGAUGAAGGCCUCCGGGUUGUAAACUGCUUUUGUACGGAACGAAAAGCCCCGGGUUAAUACCCUGGGGUCAUGACGGUACCGUAAGAAUAAGCACCGGCUAACUACGUGCCAGCCGCCGCCGUAA
rnacentral:rRNA from 1 species